rnacentral:ncRNA from 2 species
CCGCGGGAGUCCGGGCGGACCGGGCUGAGAGGGGGGCUGCGGCCUCCGACCGUAUGAACCUGAUCCGGGUCAUUCCGGCGAAGGGAGG